UACGGGGGGAGCAAGCGUUGUUCGGAUUUACUGGGCGUAAAGGGCGCGUAGGCGGCCACCGCAAGUCGACUGUGAAAUCUCCGGGCUUAACCCGGAAAGGUCAGCCGAUACUGCGGGGCUAGAGUGCAGAAGGGGCAACUGGAAUUCUCGGUGUAGCGGUGAAAUGCGUAGAUAUCGAGAGGAACACCUGCGGCGAAGGCGGGUUGCUGGGCCGACACUGACGCUGAAGCGCGAAAGCUAGGGGAGCGAACGGG
rnacentral:rRNA from 1 species